rnacentral:rRNA from 1 species
GGGGAAUUUUCCGCAAUGGGCGAAAGCCUGACGGAGCAAUACCGCGUGAGGGAGGAAGGCUCUUGGGUCGUAAACCUCUUUUCUCAGGGAAGAACACAAUGACGGUACCUGAGGAAUAAGCAUUGGCUAACUCCGUGCCAGCAGCCGCGGUAAUACGGAGGAUGCAAGCGUUAUCCGGAAUGAUUGGGCGUAAAGCGUCCGCAGGUGGCUGUGUAAGUCUGCUGUUAAAGAGUCUAGCUCAACUAGAUAAAAGCAGUGGAAACUACACGGCUAGAGUACGUUCGGGGCAGAGGGAAUUCCUGGUGUAGCGGUGAAAUGCGUAGAGAUCAGGAAGAACACCGGUGGCGAAGGCGCUCUGCUAGGCCGUAACUGACACUGAGGGACGAAAGCUAGGGGAGCGAAUGGGAUUAGAUACCCCAGUAGUCCUAGCCGUAAACGAUGGAUACUAGGCGUGGCUUGUAUCGACCCGAGCCGUGCCGUAGCUAACGCGUUAAGUAUCCCGCCUGGGGAGUACGCCGGCAACGGUGAAACUCAAAGGAAUUGACGGGGGCCCGCACAAGCGGUGGAGUAUGUGGUUUAAUUCGAUGCAACGCGAAGAACCUUACCAAGGCUUGACAUGUCGCGAAUCUUGAUGAAAGUUGAGAGUGCCUUCGGGAGCGCGAACACAGGUGGUGCAUGGCUGUCGUCAGCUCGUGUCGUGAGAUGUUGGGUUAAGUCCCGCAACGAGCGCAACCCUCGUUUUUAGUUGCCAGCAUUAAGUUGGGCACUCUAGAGAGACUGCCGGUGACAAACCGGAGGAAGGUGGGGAUGACGUCAAGUCAGCAUGCCCCUUACGCCUUGGGCUACACACGUACUACAAUGCUCCGGACAGAGGGCAGCAAGCGAGCGAUCGCAAGCAAAUCCCGCAAACCGGAGCUCAGUUCAGAUCGCAGGCUGCAACUCGCCUGCGUGAAGGAGGAAUCGCUAGUAAUUGCAGGUCAGCAUACUGCAGUGAAUUCGUUCCCGGGCCUUGUACACACCGCCCGUCACACCAUGGAAGCUGGUAGUGCCCGAAGUCAUUACUCCAACUGUUCGCAGAGGAGGAUGCCUAAGGCAGGACUGGUGACUGGGGUGAAGUCGUAACAAGGUAGCCGUACCGGAAGGUGUGGCUGGAUCACCUCCUUUUCAGAGAGACCUACACCCCUUAGAUAUCGAAAAGCAUACAGCUAUAUAGGUAGUAAGUUGGUCAUUCCUUAGGUCGGUCGCAAACAUUUGCAAAUGUUCAAGGCUUUCAAACUAUGAUGAAGGUUCGAUAUGGGCUAUUAGCUCAGGUGGUUAGAGCGCACCCCUGAUAAGGGUGAGGCCCCUGGUUCGAGUCCAGGAUGGCCCACCUGAAGAAGUCAAAAGUCAAAAGUUAAAAGUCAAAAGUAAAUACUUUUGAGGAAUGAGUUUUGAAUUUUGAAUUGAUUCUGGGGGUUUAGCUCAGUUGGUAGAGCGCCUGCUUUGCAAGCAGGAUGUCAGCGGUUCGAGUCCGCUAACCUCCACCUGUGGUGAUUGCCAUUGAUAAAAUAUUAUAUUGGGAAAUCAGCAACAUGACUUAACUCAAGUCAGACUGCUGAGUUGAACUCAGCCAGAACCUUGAAAACUGCAUAGUAACGCGAAAAUAGCAGGCAGACACAGACAUUCUGAAUGGAUGUAGUGAAUGCAAUUGUUGAAAGACCAAAUGAAUUGAGUGGUCAAGCUAAUAAGGGCUAACGGUGGAUACCUAGGCACACAGAG